AAGUCGUAACAAGGUAACCGUAGGUGAACCUGCGGUUGGAUCAUUACUUUUGUAUGUUACGGUGCGCGCUCCCUCUCUCUCUUUUUUUAGAGUGGGUCGAGGUCGAGUCGCACCGCAAUGUGUUAACCCCUGUGAACCGAAGCGUAUCUGGCCUCUUUGCCGAGGCCGACUUUUUAGCAACACCUUUUAACCGACGUAACUGAUGAUAAAAAAGAGUAAAUGAGAACUUUUGACAACGGAUCUCUAGGCUCUC
rnacentral:misc_RNA from 1 species